AAUCCAUAGGUUAAUGAGGCGAACCGGGGGAACUGAAACAUCUAAGUACCCCGAGGAAAAGAAAUCAACCGAGAUUCCCCCAGUAGCGGCGAGCGAACGGGGAGGAGCCCAGAGCCUGAAUCAGCAUGUGUGUUAGUGGAAGCGUCUGGAAAGGCGCGCGAUACAGGGUGACAGCCCCGUACACAAAAGCGCAUGUGCUGUGAGCUCGAUGAGUAGGGCGGGACACGUGGUAUCCUGUCUGAAUAUGGGGGGACCAUCCUCCAAGGCUAAAUACUCCUGACUGACCGAUAGUGAACCAGUACCGUGAGGGAAAGGCGAAAAGAACCCCGGCGAGGGGAGUGAAAAAGAACCUGAAACCGUGUACGUACAAGCAGUGGGAGCCCCACCACUAAGCCAGUGGUGAACUCCACAUACGCAUCCUUUGCUGAGGAUACGGUUAACGGAGCGAAAGCGACGUUCAACCGCAAAAGAAGCAGA
rnacentral:rRNA from 1 species